rnacentral:rRNA from 1 species
UACAGAGGGGGCAAGCGUUAUUCGGAAUUAUUGGGCGUAAAGGGCGCGUAGGCGGCCUGGCAAGUGGAAGGUGAAAUCCCUCGGCUUAACCGAGGAACUGCCCUCCAAACUGCUUGGCUUGAGUCCGGGAGAGGUGAGUGGAAUUCCCAGUGUAGCGGUGAAAUGCGUAGAUAUUGGGAAGAACACCGGUGGCGAAGGCGGCUAUCUGGACCGACAUUGACGCUGAUGCGCGAAAGCGUGGGGAUCAAACAGG